rnacentral:rRNA from 1 species
UACGGAGGGGGCUAGCGUUGUUCGGAAUUACUGGGCGUAAAGCGCACGUAGGCGGCUUUGUAGGUUCGAGGUGAAAGCCCGGGGCUCAACUCCGGAAUUGCCUUUAAGACUGCAUCGCUAGAAUUGUGGAGAGGUAAGUGGAAUUCCGAGUGUAGAGGUGAAAUUCGUAGAUAUUCGGAAGAACACCAGUGGCGAAGGCGACUUACUGGACACAUAUUGACGCUGAGGUGCGAAAGCGUGGGGAGCAAACAGG